rfam:Myotis davidii contig131781, whole genome shotgun sequence.
UCUCCUUGAGGGGCCUUAGCCUCUACCCAGGACUCUUCCAUGACCAGGAGGCUGAGGGCCCUCACAGGCGGC